AGAUUCGAAGCUAGGGCGGGGCCCGCGGGCUGAGGCAGCGGCUGUGGCGGCGAAGCUGGGCGUGAGGUGGCGGCGGCCGCGCCCUGGUUGGGUCCCCACUGCUCUCGGGGGCGCCAUGGACGAGGCCGUGGGCGACCUGAAGCAGGCGCUUCCCUGUGUGGCGGAGUCGCCAACGGUCCACGUGGAGGUGCAUCAGCGCGGCAGCAGCACUGCAAAGAAAGAAGACAUAAACCUGAGUGUUAGAAAGCUACUCAACAGACAUAAUAUUGUGUUUGGUGAUUACACAUGGACUGAGUUUGAUGAACCUUUUUUGACCAGAAAUGUGCAGUCUGUGUCUAUUAUUGACACAGAAUUAAAGGUUAGAGACUCACAGCCCAUCGAUUUGAGUGCAUGCACUGUUGCACUUCACAUUUUCCAGCUGAAUGAAGAUGGCCCCAGCAGUGAAAAUCUGGAGGAAGAGACAGAAAACAUAAUUGCAGCAAAUCACUGGGUUCUACCUGCAGCUGAAUUCCAUGGGCUUUGGGACAGCUUGGUAUACGAUGUGGAAGUCAAAUCCCAUCUCCUCGAUUAUGUGAUGACAACUUUACUGUUUUCAGACAAGAACGUCAACAGCAACCUCAUCACCUGGAACCGGGUGGUGCUGCUCCACGGUCCUCCUGGCACUGGAAAAACAUCCCUGUGUAAAGCGUUAGCCCAGAAAUUGACAAUUAGACUUUCAAGCAGGUACCGAUAUGGCCAAUUAAUUGAAAUAAACAGCCACAGCCUCUUUUCUAAGUGGUUUUCGGAAAGUGGCAAGCUGGUAACCAAGAUGUUUCAGAAGAUUCAGGAUUUGAUUGAUGAUAAAGACGCUCUGGUGUUCGUGCUGAUUGAUGAGGUGGAGAGUCUCACAGCCGCCCGAAAUGCCUGCAGGGCGGGCACCGAGCCAUCAGAUGCCAUCCGCGUGGUCAAUGCUGUCUUGACCCAAAUUGAUCAGAUUAAAAGGUAACCAGGACAUGCAGCAAUUUUCCCUGAGAAGUGAUGAGAAGUUUUUCCCAAAGAAAUGCGUGAUACUUGUACAACCCUAGAUCUUAGUGCCCAGCUCUUUCACCGGAAAGUGCAUUUGGCAUUGAGUAUCGACUCCUUUUCCACAUUGGAAGCAGCAUAUCACAAAUGCUUUUUUAAAGAAAUUGUUUUUAGUGUAUUAAAAAUGUAAAAGAAGGCCAGGCAUGGUGGCUCACACCUGUAAUCCCAGCACUUUGGGAGGCCGAGGCAGGCGGAUCACAAGGUCAGUAGAUUGAGACCAUCCUGGCUAACACGGUGAAACCCUGUCUCUACUAAAAAUACAAAAAAUUAGCCGGGCGUGAUGGGGGGCGCCUGUAGUCCCAGCUACUCGGGAGGCUGAGGCAGGAGAAUGGUGUGAACCCAGGAGGCAGAACUUGCAGUGAGCCGAGAUCAUGCCACUGCACUCCAGCCU
rnacentral:sRNA from 1 species